rnacentral:rRNA from 1 species
AUUGAACGCUGGCGGCAGGCCUAACACAUGCAAGUCGUGCGGAGCGGCGGACGGGUGAGUAAUGCCUAGGAAUCUGCCUGGUAGUGGGGGAUAACGUCCGGAAACGGGCGCUAAUAUCGCAUAUCAUCAGAUGAGCCUAGGUCGGAUAAGCUAGUCGGUGGGGUAAAGGCCUACCAAGGCGACGACCCGUAACUGGUCUCAGAGGAUGAUCAGUCACACUGGAACUAAGACACGGUCCAGACUCCUACGGGAGGGAGCAGUGGGGAAUUUUGGACAAUGGGCGAAAGCCUGAUCCAGCCAUGCCGCGUGUGUGAAGAAGGUCUUCGGAUUGUAAAGCACUUUAAGUUGGGAGGCGUUACCAACAGAAUAAGCACCGGCUAACUUCGUGCCAGCAGCCGCGGUAAUUC